UAACUUUUAACAACGGAUCUCUUGGCUCUUGCAUCGAUGAAGAACACAGCGAAAUGCGAUAAGUAAUGUGAAUUGCAGAAUUCCGUGAAUCAUCAAAUCUUUGAACGCAAAUUGCACUCCUUGGUAUUCCGAGGAGUAUGCCUGGUUGAGGGUUGUUC
rnacentral:rRNA from 1 species